UGGAGGGACUAAAGGUGUUAAAACUAAAACUAAUAAUAAUAAAAACAAGGUUUAAACACCAAACACACUAAAAGAAGUGUGUCUGGUCGAUCUAAACAUCAGGAGCGAACAGGAGCUUCCCCACCAAACCCUAACUUGUGCAAAUUGAUCAAAUUGGGGCUUCAAAUCAGUUCCAAAUCGAUUUCCAAGCACGAAAUUGUCAUCUCCAUUGAAAGGGGAGUCAUAAGUUUGAUCUCGUCAAACUAAGUGGGAGCUGGAAAGGAAUGGAUCAAACGGGUCAAGUGCGCAAGGAAAGCUCGAACGGACGCAAACUGUACAUUUUGGAUGCCGGAAGACGAUCAAGCUCAACGAAGAACCGAACACGAAUAAGAUAAAAGCUUCCGCACGUCGUUUCGUCGUAACUUUUAAACGACGAACUCAAUUAUGUUAUGUUGUAUUAUUUUAAAAUUGUAAAGUUUAAACAAACCCGUAUUUUUACAAAGUAUAUGUAGUCAUAAUUACAUGUUGUUUGUCGUAUACUUUCCGAAAACCAUUAAAUAAUGACAAGGGUGUUACAAGUUGGUAUCAGAGCUCAUGGUUAAAGAGUAAAGUGUGUUCGGUUCGAGGCUUGAUCGCAAAUCCGGUAAGUACAUGUAUAUUAAUGGUUUGGUAUGUGUUGAAAUGUUGUGAACAACACAUAGGGUUAACGUGUGAUACACGUUACCUCAAUUAAAUGAUAAAUAUAGUUGAGAAAAUUGCGCGCGUUGACGCGUAUAGUAGAAAAGCCUUGUAUUAUAAUACGGGCGAUUAUUGAAGUUGAUAUUACUAAUUCUUGUAAAUGUUUUAAUUGAAGGACACUCGCAUCUGAAGAUAGCGAGAGUUUAACAAAUUGUGGAUAUGAUGAUGGAACGGUCCGAGAUGUGACAAGAAGAGCAUACUCAUCAAGGACCUAAAUCGCGUAACGAUCGCAAAUAAGUAGUGGCAAGGAAUGCCCGUCGGGGCAAGCAUUACCAGGAGCUUCCCCACCAAACCCUAACUUGUGCAAAUUGAUCAAAUUGGGGCUUCAAAUUAGUUCCAAAUCGAUUUCCAAGCACGAAAUUGUCAUCUCCAUUGAAAGGGGAGUCAUAAGUUUGAUCUCGUCAAACUAAGUGGGAGCUGGAAAGGAAUGGAUCAAACGGGUCAAGUGCGCAAGGAAAGCUCGAACGGACGCAAACUAUAAGUACAUUUUGGAUGCCGGAAGACGAUCAAGCUCAACGAAGAACCGAACACGAAUAAGAUAAAAGCUUCCGCACGUCGUUUCGUCGUAACUUUUAAAAGACGAACUCAAUUAUGUUAUGUUGUAUUAUUUUAAAAUUGUAAAAUUUAAACAAACCCGUAUUUUUACAAAGUAUAUGUAGUCAUAAUUACAUGUUGUUUGUCGUAUACUUUACGAAAACCAUUAAAUAAUGACAAGGGUGUUACAC